rnacentral:rRNA from 1 species
CCUACGGGUGGCAGCAGUGGGGAAUAUUGCACAAUGGGGGAAACCCUGAUGCAGCGACGCCGCGUGAGUGAAGAAGUAUCUCGGUAUGUAAAGCUCUAUCAGCAGGGAAGAAAAUGACGGUACCUGACUAAGAAGCCCCGGCUAACUACGUGCCAGCAGCCGCGGUAAUACGUAGGGGGCAAGCGUUAUCCGGAUUUACUGGGUGUAAAGGGAGCGUAGACGGCGCUGCAAGUCCGGAGUGAAAUCCCAGGGCUUAACCCUGGGACUGCUCUGGAAACUGUGGAGCUUGAGUGCGGGAGGGGUAGGCGGAAUUCCUAGUGUAGCGGUGAAAUGCGUAGAUAUUAGGAGGAACACCGGUGGCGAAGGCGGCUUGCUGGACCGUAACUGACGUUGAGGCUCGAAAGCGUGGGGAGCAAACAGGAUUAGAUACCACAGUAGUC